UGUGGAGCCAAUGACCUUUGCCCACCGUGUGAACCGCUCUGGGUUGUCCGGAAUCUGCUGCUUCUCUACGGCUGUGUGUCGCACGCUGACUUGGAACUGCAGGUUUCCCAGGUGUUUGGCGAUGUCGAUCAGCGCUCCGGAGACGAGCUGUGGAUCCGGAAGAUCAAGUUGGGCUCUGGCUCUGUUCUGGGUGUGUUUGUAACUCACAAGGACGUUUUCACUGCCUUUGUUCAGGUCCUCUUUCACAGCCUCAAUGGCAUUUGUGAGAGAGGAGAUCUGCUCAACAAUGCUGUCCAUGCCUUUCUCAAUUAACAUUCCCUUUUCCUUCUCCUCCUCCCUCAGAGCAGCCAGUCUGGCAUCCUCUUCCUCUCUCAGGAACUGGUGGAGCUUCACAAACUCUUCCCUGAUCCUCCUCGUUGUGUCCACCUGCUGGUCCUUGGUGUGCUGAGUCAUGCUAUCGUAGCUCUCUCUGGCAUUUAUACAUUUCUCCAGCUUUUCUUCCAGACUUGUUAAGUCAGAUCUCAGGUCGUCCUCAGGUCGUCCACUCACCGAUUUCCCCUCUUCCCUUCUUUUUUUCUGUGUCGAUUCCUCUUCUGGAAGAUGUCUCUUUAAAGACUUAGCAAGUUUGUUAAGGUUCAUGUUGCUUAGGAUCAUGAUUGUGACGUUCACAGCUCCCUCAUCGCAGUAGGUCUCCACCAUCCUAUCCACAGUGGCAUGCCUUGUGACAUUCUCCAGAUGAGCCUUUGAAAUGUUAGCAAAAUCUUUCAGAUCGCUAUUGCACAGCUCCCAGUUAAAUCUCUCCAUCUCUUUGUUGUCCAGUUUCUCCAGAAUGGUCAGCAACAACUCAGAGACAGAUGCUGCCAUUGUAGAACACUAGAUACACUGCACUAGGUAGUGAAACGUACAACUUUGGUUAACUUUCACAUUUAACAGUUGCCCUUGGAAGUCACAGUUUUAGAUGUUCUCUCUUAAUAAUCCUUUUGUUUCUACCAAUAAUUCCUGUGUUGCUUUUUCAGUCAGAUGGAGAGAGUGAAGAUUACAAGCAGCCCUAAACAAAUUUCAGAGUUUUAGGAUUAAAAAAAAAAGUUUUCUGGGUGUUGACAGGAAACCGUUAGAUUGUGUGUGUGUGAACUGUGUGAUAGGUCUGCCAAACUCCCUGCUGUUGGCUGAUUGCCCAGAAGCAGCUGGCCUUGUCAUUGUGCACAUCCAGUGUAGUCUUUGCGGUUGUGUACACAUACGUACAUGUUCACAGACCUCAUGCAUUUCUUGUAAAUCGUCUGACUUCCUUUCAGACGUUAUAACAAAUAUAUGGACAACAGGUAUAACAAAUGUAAAUAUAAGGGGGAUCUGUAAGAGACUAUUUAGUGACAUCCAAUCUGUUUCUGCUAUACUGUCUCGUAGCUUUCCAUUAUUGUGAUUAUAAAGACAAUGUUAACUAUUUCGCUAGAGCUCAUAUCAUCUGUGCAGAAUUUACCAUAACAAACUAACAAUGGGUCUCAUAUCUACUUGUAGCAUCCUGACAUUGUGGGUAGUCUGGGUUUGUUAGCGUAAAGAUGGGAACAGUGGUACACCAGGUGUCCUUGGAAGUGCUAGUAUAAGUACUGUGUCAGGGGUUAGCUGGUGUCACCUGGGGGACAACAUAAGAUACUGUAGGAAUGUUCUCCAUAUGUUAUUAUAGUCAUUUAGUGGUUCAUUAAUUUAAAACGGUACAUCUCUCCAGGUACAUCUCAAACAGACUGUGGAUUUCUUAUGCUCCUCACGAACUAACGGUCAGAAAAUAAAUUAGAUUCAUUACAUUGUCUUUUCCACUUCUACACAAUAACGUUUUGGCAAGUCAAUGAAAUAAAUCAAUUCAUUUAUAGAGACCAGAGAGUACAGAAAUUCUACUUUUCGGAGAUAAGGACUGAGAGCUCCAUUCAACAACAAACAGCAAGUAAAACCUGGAUUAAAUCCAAGGUGCGUUGUAGAGCAGUGCACUGGACAUUCGACAAAGCGCAUUUUAAAGGUAUUUUCCCCGACAUUCACAGAUAUCGCAUUCGAAUUAUUGUUGAAUUGCAACUGGAAUCUGCGUAGCGAAACAGAACGUAAACUGUCGAGACUUCUGGGUGUUUGUAUUUUUAAAUGUUUUUAUUUAACCUUUAUUUAACUAGGCAAGUCAGUUAAUAACACAUUCUUAUUUUCCAUGACGGUCUAGGAACAGUGGGUUAACUGCCUUGUUCAGGGGCAGAACGACAAAUUUGUACCUUGUCAGCUCGGGAUUCAAUCUUGCAACCUUUCGGUUACUAGUCCGAUGCUCUAACCAGUAGGCAACCUGCCGACCCAGGUUAGCAUUUGCGUCCCUCGCAUUUGCAACAAUGAAAAACUGUUGUUACACAUCAUCCAUGUUUAUUUUGCUUAUAAUGAACUGUUUAUCAAUGAUGAAACAUAAUGCAAGUAAUUUAUAGCGCAAAAUCCAUAUUUUGUAGGCCAAGGCUGCAGUUCCGAAGGUAACCACCCUGUCCCGCCCCUGUCAGCUCCCCUGGAAACCUCUUCCCCUGAGCUGAAGAUCCAAAUCAUGUGUUUCUUCACUUUUACUUUACACACCAAUAUUUGUGGUCACCCUCCCCUUACAUUUCAUGAAGGGAGGGUGACCUGUGAAAUGUCAAUGCGGAAUCUGGAUGCCAACCAUUUGAUCUCAAUCAAUUUCAUGGGAAGACACAUUUGAAUUAUGUACAGUGUUGUUUCGAAGUUCAGUGUUUUAUUUGAAUUAUGUACAGGGAGCGAAUUUUAGAGCAGAUGGUGUUUUGCCUAGUGGCGCGCUGUUGAGCUUUCACCACAUGAGAGAAAAAUGCUACCAUUCUCACAAUCAUCCUACAUCUCAUAAGAAAUGAGGUGGUGUUUUUUGUCUUGCAGUGACGUUAUACCAUGCUAUUAUUUUCAGUUCUGUUAUAUAGAAUACUAUCAUUAUGUGAUCUUGCUGACACAGAUUCAGUCUUGAUUUAACUUAAACAAGCAUCAUUCUCCAUUUAUAACAGACAUUUGCCGAAGUAGCCUUUUCUUCGGGGCUACUAAACUAGUAAAGCAGAGACUGUGUGUAAAGGAGAGAAUCCCACACAUGCGCAGAAGCUUUGGAUUUAGUUGUCGGAAAAUGGUUCUAGAGAAUUCGGAUACGCAGCCACUCUGUAUUUUGAAACUUCUCUUAAUGGUCUCAAGCGUACAAUCCUUGAUUCUGUUUCAUUUUUCCCCCCAGCUAAAUGGCAGCUCUGCUUUUUGGUUUGCUAAAAAACUGCUGAAGGACGUGACUGAAGAAAUGUAAUAAUGUUGAGAGAAGAGUUGGGACCCUACUAUCACCUCCACUACCACCCUAUAACCAGGCCACGAACGCCAGACUGCCAGCCACCAAAGUAGUUCUCAUUAUUACGAGAUGUGGAAGAUCAAACCCCCCAUCACGUACGCUUUGGAAGCAAAGUACAGGCCCUAUCUUGAGGGUAACUAAGGAAUAAGCUAUGUGGAUGGAAGCCAUCGCAGCCUUGAAAUGCUUUCAAACAUCUGGUCGGACAACAAGGCCAGCAUCGUGUUCACUAGGCACCGGAUGGACUGAAACAGGGAGGGAUUUCCUGGCCUUUCCUCUUGCCCCAGGAAAUUCCAGACUGACCUGGAAUUUGAAUUGAAUUAAAUGGAAUGUACAGGGAGCGAGAACUGAAUGAAAAUGCAAUUUGUGGAAUUGACACCAACCCUUGUACAAUGUGAUACUUUAUCCUCAACUGCAAUUAAAACUAAAUGUAAUUGA